rnacentral:tRNA from 1 species
AAAAAGAAUUAUAUGAAAAAUCAAAAGAAUCGUUGUGAAUCGAUUUCAAA